UGGUGUAGCGGUGAAAUGCUUAGAUAUCACGAAGAACUCCGAUUGCGAAGGCAGCUCACUAGACUGUAACUGACACUGAUGCUCGAAAGUGUGGGUAUCAAACAGGAUUAGAUACCCUGGUAGUCCACACAGUAAACGAUGAAUACUCGCUGUUUGCGAUAUACAGUAAGCGGCCAAGCGAAAGCGUUAAGUAUUCCACCUGGGGAGUACGCCGGCAACGGUGAAACUCAAAGGAAUUGACGGGGGCCCGCACAAGCGGAGGAACAUGUGGUUUAAUUCGAUGAUACGCGAGGAACCUUACCCGGGCUUAAAUUGCAGAUGAAUUACGGUGAAAGCCGUAAGCCGCAAGGCAUCUGUGAAGGUGCUGCAUGGUUGUCGUCAGCUCGUGCCGUGAGGUGUCGGCUUAAGUGCCAUAACGAGCGCAACCCUUGUUGUCAGUUACUAACAGGUUCCGCUGAGGACUCUGACAAGACUGCCAUCGUAAGAUGUGAGGAAGGUGGGGAUGACGUCAAAUCAGCACGGCCCUUACGUCCGGGGCUACACACGUGUUACAAUGGGGGGUACAGAGGGCCGCUACCACGCGAGUGGAUGCCAAUCCCCAAAACCUCUCUCAGUUCGGACUGGAGUCUGCAACCCGACUCCACGAAGCUGGAUUCGCUAGUAAUCGCGCAUCAGCCACGGCGCGGUGAAUACGUUCCCGGGCCUUGUACACACCGCCCGUCAAGCCAUGAAAG
rnacentral:rRNA from 1 species